AUUGAACGCUGGCGGCAUGCUUUACACAUGCAAGUCGAACGGCAGCGCGGGCUUCGUCCUGGCGGCGAGUGGCGAACGGGUGAGUAAUACAUCGGAACGUGCCCAGUAGUGGGGGAUAGCUCGGCGAAAGCCGGAUUAAUACCGCAUACGACCUGAGGGUGAAAGCGGGGGAUCUUCGGACCUCGCGCUAUUGGAGCGGCCGAUGGCAGAUUAGCUAGUUGGUGGGGUAAAGGCCUACCAAGGCGACGAUCUGUAGCUGGUCUGAGAGGACGACCAGCCACACUGGGACUGAGACACGGCCCAGACUCCUACGGGAGGCAGCAGUGGGGAAUUUUGGACAAUGGGCGAAAGCCUGAUCCAGCAAUGCCGUCGUGUGUGAUGAAGGCCUUCGGGUUGUAAAGCACUUUUGGCGGGAACGAAAAGGACUG
rnacentral:rRNA from 1 species